GACGAACGCUGGCGGCGUGCUUAACACAUGCAAGUCGAACGCUGAAGCUUGGUGCUUGCACUGGGUGGAUGAGUGGCGAACGGGUGAGUAAUACGUGAGUAACCUGCCCUUGACUCUGGGAUAAGCCUGGGAAACUGGGUCUAAUACUGGAUACGACAUGUCACCGCAUGGUGGUGUGUGGAAAGGGUUUUACUGGUUUUGGAUGGGCUCACGGCCUAUCAGCUUGUUGGUGGGGUAAUGGCUCACCAAGGCGACGACGGGUAGCCGGCCUGAGAGGGUGACCGGCCACACUGGGACUGAGACACGGCCCAGACUCCUACGGGAGGCAGCAGUGGGGAAUAUUGCACAGUGGGCGGAAGCCUGAUGCAGCGACGCCGCGUGAGGGAUGACGGCCUUCGGGUUGUAAACCUCUUUCAGCACGGAAGAAGCGAAAGUGACGGUACGUGCAGAAGAAGCGCCGGCUAACUACGUG
rnacentral:rRNA from 1 species